CGAAACAUGGUGGUUUCAGAAACGUAGUCAUGACCGAAGCACACAACUCAAGAUAUUCCGUUCACCCAGGUUCAGAUAAAAUGUAUCUGGAUCUUAAGAAACUGUACUGGUGGCCUAACAUGAAAGCAGAAAUUGCUACCUUCGUAAGUAAAUGCCUUACUUGCGCUAAGGUUAAGGUCGAGUAUCAGAAACCGUCAGGAUUACUACGACAACCGGAGAUACCAGAAUGGAAAUGGGAGCGGAUUACUGUGGACUUCAUAACCAAGUUACCCAAGACGACAAGUGGACUCGAUACCAUAUGGGUUAUUGUCGACAGAUUGACCAAAUCCGCGCAUUUCCUACCCAUCAAGGAGACUGACAAAAUGGAAAAUCUUACAACAACUUACUUAAGGUAAGUAGUGAGACUGCAUGGUGUUCCGAUAUCCAUUAUCUCCGAUCGAGAUAGUAGAUUCACUUCAAGAUUCUGGCAGUCACUACAAAGUUCCCUGGGGACUAGGCUAGACAUGAGUACAGCCUACCACCGACAAACAGACGGGCAAAGUGAGAGAACGAUACAAACUUUAGAAGAUAUACUGAGAGCCUGUGUGAUUGACUUUGGAAAGGCAUGGGAUAUCCAUUUACCCCUUGUCGAAUUUUCAUACAACAAUAGUUAUCAUACAAGCAUAAAGGCUGCUCCGUUUGAAGCCCUCUAUGGUCGAAAGUGCAGAUCCCCUCUGUGCUGGACUGAAGUUGGCGAUACCCAAUUAGCUAGAGGAAGAGUUCCUGAAAGCACUCUCACCGGUCCGGAAAUCAUACGAGAAACGACAGAGAAGAUCGUUCAGAUUCGUGAACGAUUGAAAGCCUCUAGAGACCGACAGAAAAGCUACGCUGACCAAAGGAGGAAACCUUUGGAAUUCCAGGUAGGAGACCACGUUUUAUUAAAGGUCUCACCGUGGAAGGGUUUAAUACGCUUUGGAAAGCGUGGGAAACUAAAUCCAAGAUACAUAGGGCCUUUUGAGAUUCUUGCCAGAAUCGGCCCUGUGGCUUACAAGCUUAACCUACCGCGUGAACUUAGUAACAUAUAUCCAACCUUCCACGUCUCAAACUUGAAAAAGUGUUUGUCCGAUGAGACUCUUGUUAUUCCACUCGACGAGAUCGAGAUCAACGAGAGCCUCAACUUUGUGGAAGAACCAGUAGAAAUCAUGGACCGAGAGGUCAAACAAACAAAACAAAGUCGCAUACCCAUCGUGAAGGUUCGCUGGAACGCCAAGCGGGGACCUGAAUUCACAUGGGAACGCGAAGAUCAGAUGAAACAAAAGUACCCUCAUCUCUUUCAUGUUCACUAUUAUCUUUACUAAUUUAAAUUUCGGGACGAAAUUCCCUCUAACGGGGGGAUGAUGUGACAACCCGAUAUUUCAACUCUUUGUAAUGACCUAAAAAGUCAAGUAUUGUAGCUACUUUUGAAAUAAUGAAAUUAACUUCGAAUAUGAAAUAUGUAAAAAUAUUUAUAAGAAUAUCUAUUAUGUUAGACAUUGUGUCAAGGUUUACAUAAAUACUAAGAACACUAAAAUCCGAGUUACAACGAAGAAAUUAUGACCAUUCUGAGAUUUCCGACAAAACCGACAACACCGAUUAAACGAAAAACAUGAAGUUUCAAUGAAAUAUCAUUUAGCCUUAGGUAUCUAAAUGAAAGUUAUAGAUAACAUUAAACCGUGAGCGUACACAAAAAGAACGUCCAAAUCUGACUUCGUAUGAGGAAGUUAUGGUUUUUCCAUGAUCCGAAUAUACCAGUAGACAGCUAAAAACUCGAAAUAGAGAUCGAGAGAAUUUUGACCAAAACAACCUAAAUGAGAAUCGAAGGUCUCAACAUUAGUAGCGCAACAGCGAAAAGUCUGACGAAAACGGACAUCGGAUGAAGAAGUUAUGGAUUUUAUACGGACUUUUCGUGUCCCGGCCCGUUAAAAAUAAAUAAUUAAAAAUAAAGUCAAAAUUUGCCGAUGAAGUCUAAACGAAAGUUGUAGAUCAUAUUUUCAGCUACGCGUGCAUAUAAAGAACGUCGAAAACGGAGCUCGUACGGGAAAGUUAUGGAUUUUACAAGUUCGGGGUCCAAAAUCCGAGGCUGUCAGGCCUCCCCACGACGUGGCACUGUUUUGCCGCGACCCGGCAAGUGACUGAGGGCGUCCAAUCAAUGGAAGAGGAUAGACUUGCUCCCCACGACGUGGCCAACCCUAGCCACGACGUGGCACUCAAAAAUACCCCCUAUAAAUAGAACUCUUGGGGUGCCGGGUAUAGGUGCUCCAUUCUUCCCUCUAUCGUGCUGAAACUCUGCGGUUAAGCUCCCGAAGCCUCGGUUUUCACUCUCAAGUUCCGAAGGAAGGUUCUAAUCUCCCGAGAUUCCCAAGAUUCCCGAGAAAAGCGACUUUCACAAGCCAAAGUUCUGCUCGAUUUUCAUCUCGUUUUCCCCAAUCAAUCAAGUGAGUUUUAUACCCCUUAAUCAACCUGUUUAAAUAUUCUAAAUGCUUUUAUAUGCUCUCAAGGGGGGGAAUACAAGUAAACACAUGAGUAUUAUCGUGUGUUACAUAAACAAUUAUUUUAUGUGCUUUUAUAUAUCCAAAUCGCAUGUGAUUUAUAAACUAUAUAGGGAACUUUUAUAUAUAUAAAAUAUGUUAUAUUCCAUCUUUUGAAAUAUAAAUUGUUGUAUUGCAUGUAUAAACUAAACUUUUCUUAGAUUAUAUGUAUACUUGUCUAUCUUAGGCUCUACAAAAAUCUAUGCUUUCAUAACAAAUGAUUCCUUUUCUAGGUAUUUCUAAACAAACGAGACACACUUUUAGAAAACUAUAAUAGGUAUAGUUUUACGAACAAAUUUCUAACUCUUAUGUACUAGAAACAUGAAUUUCAAGAAGUCACUUCCGUAUACAAGAACAAAUGAAACAUUUUAACAAGUAGAUCUGUUUUUAUACUACGGUUUUGUGAGAUGCUAACUUCAUGUACGUUCGAGUACACAUUUCAAGUCCUGUAUUAUAUACCAGAAUCCCUUGGAGGGGGAGCAUGGUGUUUGUGUAUAGAUCUAUACGGGCUUGACAACCCGCGCCCUGACUGUUAGCUGCAGUCCACCGUUUGGGGUGACAAACGUCAUAACAUUCCAACGCCUGAAGAACGUUGUGUAUAGGCAUUCAGAGUCAAUAGUAUGGUUAUAAAACUCACAAGGGGUAUUAAAAAUGCAUUGAUUUACAAGGUUUUCAAACUCAUUGGUUAUUUUACAUUUACAUACAUUUUGGAAACAAACAUUGGUCUUGAGUGAAGGCUACUUUUAUACUAGUAGAAAAUAUAGGAUUUUCUAAACACAAACAAACAAAGAUAAAACAUUUCAUUUCAUUCAAACAUUGUCACUUAAAUACUUAUGAAAUUCACCAGCUUAAAUGCUGAUCUACUCUUUCAAAAUUACUUGUAUGUCCCAGGAAAUCAGUAAUUUCAGGUAUUCAUUAUGCUUUUGAUGAAGGGAUGCUGCGGCGCCAGUUUAAUCUCGUAUUUUUGACAUCAUAUUGUAAUUGGUUUUGAACAUGUAACUUUUGACAAAUGUAAACUUUCAAUUAUAUAUAUGAUGGUUGUAUUGCUUUCUUUACUAUGUAUUCAUUUGUUACGUUACCACAUGAAGUCAUCCGCCCCCGAACGUUUCCGCCGUUCAUGUUUGGGGGUGUGACAGCUGAAAAGGUAGAAAAAUCACUAUAAUUCUCAUAAUAAGUAUUAUGAAUAUACUAAAGUAACUAAAAUUUUAUUAAUUCCCAAUAUUAGUUACUUUAGGAAAAUGUGAAUAAGGUGCUAUUCCAUGAAAUUACACUUUGCACUUUGAUUAAGUCGUUAGUGGAGCGCGUGUGGUUAACCAGCACACUAACUUGGACUUAUCAAGGUAGGCAAAGGGUGACUUAAUGUUUAUCAUAGUAUCGUUGGAGCGUGUAUGGUUAACCGGCACUUUGAUUGAGGGGUAAUACAUUAAGUGUACCAAGUAAUUUGCAUGGUUACUUCACCUUGUUUUGUGAUCCUCAGCAUCCCAGUCAAAAAACUUGAAGGGCACACUCGAGAUUGAAACAUGUCAUUGAAAAGUUCAAUGAAUCUCAAAGAACCUAGGAAUUUCUAAACCAAUUAAAACAUAAUAAAAUUUAUUCCAUUUUAUGGUGGAAAUUGGUGAAUCGUCAUUCGCCUACCUUCAAAUAUUUUAUAGCUUGGAUUACGACAUCACUCUUCUAAGUUAUAAAAUAUUGUGUUGUGUCCUAGACUUAAUAUAGCAUUUGGGUGCUUUAUUAUGGACUAUCCUGAAAUCUAAUCUAAACUUAUUCCUUCAUUUUAGAUGUCUUCUAAUAACAAUGCUUCUGGCUCAAACCCUACUGGCUCUUUCUCUCUCAUGAACCUUUGUGGGAGAGUCAUCUUUGAUGGAUCCAAUUUUAUGGAUUGGAUCAGAAACAUCAGGAUGGUCAGUCGCUAUGAGAACAAAGAAUAUGUCCUUGAUAGGGAGUUGAAGGAGAUUGAUGAGUCAACUGCUACCCCAGAGGAGAUUGCUGCAUUUCAAGCACAUGAAAGGUAUGCUACCAAAGUAGCAUCUAUCAUGACUGCCACAAUGACAGCUGAGCUCCAAAAGUUCUAUGAGGACUAUUACCCUUUUGAGAUGCACGUGGACUUGAUGGAGCGAUACCAUCAAAGUGCUCGUCAAGAGAGGUAUGAAAUAAUCUCCUCCAUGAUAACCACCCAAAUGAAGGACAAUGAGUCCCUCACGACCCACAUGCAGAAAAUGCAAAGAUUUGUGGAUCGCUUGAAGAAACUGAAUGUUGACUUUCUUGAGGAGUUAGCAAUAGAUAUCAUUUUGCACUCCUUACCUUCAUGUUAUGAUCAAUUUAGAAUGACAUACCACAUGAAUAAGGAAGAAGUUACACUUAGUAAACUUCAAGGACUCUUAAAGACUGCAGAAAGUAGUCUUAAGGGUAAGUCGGGUGUUACUACUCCUCCUACUCUUACUGCGGCCAAUGUCUUGGCAAUCGGUCAUGGCAAAGGUAAGAAGAGAAAGAACCAUUCUAAGGGUACUAAGGGUAAGACCCUUGAAGGCUCCUCUUCAAACAAAACCAAGAAAGGUUUUGUCACUCCUUCUGCUAACCCUAAUGAGGUUGGAUGCUUCUAUUGCCAUGAAAAGUCGCACUGGAAGUGAAACUGCCCUAAAUACCAGCAAGAUCUUAAAGAUGGGAAAGUAAAACCCAACCAUGCAGGUAUAUACACUAUAUUGUCUAAUAACUCACCUCAUUCUAAGUCUUGGGUCCUGGAUACAGGUUGUGGAAUUCACAUAUGUUCUGAUCUGCAGAGACUAAGAAGAUGUGAGGAUUUGGAGCAAGGAAAUAUAAACCUAAUCAUGGCGAAUAGGGAAGUUUCACCUGUCACCAAGAUUGGAGUUUAUUCCUUGUUACUAGAUAGUGGGUUUACAUUAGACUUGAAUAAAUGUUGUUAUUCGCCAGAAAUGGCAAGAAAUUUUAUUUCCUUUCAUGCAUUGUAUAAACAAGGUUUCACCUUUUAUCUUGAUAAUAAAAGUGGUGGUAUUGAUGCUUUCUAUAAUAGUGUUCUUUAUUUUAAAACAUUACCUUGUGAUGGUGUGUAUGAAACUGUAUCUGUUGUAGAUAACUUACGUAAUGAAUUGUGUAUCGAUUCUUCAACUAGCUUAGAUAAAGCAUCUUUAUGGCAUUGUCGUCUUGGACAUGUAAUGUCACACCCCAAAACCGGAACGGCGGAGACGUUCUGGGGUGGAUGACGUCAUGUCAAGUAUCACAACAUAUGCAGUAUAGUAAUCAAAGUAGAACAACCAAUGCAUUAAUAGUAAUAAUUUUUACAUAGGUUACAUUUCAUAGCAACAUCAAAGUAAUAUAGAGAAUAAUAAAGAUGCAGCUGGGUACUAGGCUGACUUCACAAAAACUCCCGGGAUGUACCUGUCUAUCAAUGACCUGAGAAUACAAGUUAUUUUGAAAGCGAGUAUCAGCAUUUUUAUAAUGCUGGUGAGUUCUUAAGUAUUUAAUGACAUUAGUUAAAAUACACAGUUUUAUUCAAAAUAACCUCAUGAAAGAUGGUGGUUUAGAAUCUACAGAGAGUUAGAAUCCUUUCAAGAAAAUCCUAUAUUUUCAAAAUAAAAGCAGUCUUCUACCAAGACCCAGUUGUUUUAUAUUUAAGGAGUAAUUUUCCCAAAGUACUAUCAUUAUCUACAUAAAGUUUUUACUUUAAAGGAGUUGUGAGAAAAGCCUUAAGUAAAAUAAUAAGGGAAAAUCAUAUAUUUCCUCAGCAGAAACACUACUGUCUAAAAGAAGUAAAACCUAGACUCCAGGCGGAACACCUCGCAAAGCUUAAAGGUAAAUAGAUCAUAGACUCCAGGCGGGACGCCUUGCAAAGUCUAAAAAUAAGUAAAACAUAUACUCCAGGAGACUAUCGAAUGAAUGACACGCCAGGCUCAGUCUAACACAAGGAAGUACAGACUCCAGACAGUAUCGAAUGAACGAUACAGCUAGCAAAGUCUAAAAAAAGAAAAUACAGACUCUAGACAGUAUCGAAUGAACAAUACAGCUAGCAAAUUCUAAAACAAGGAAAUACAGACUCCAGACAGUAUCGAAUGAACGAUACAGCUAGCAAAGUCUAAAACAAGGAAAUACAGUGAUAAUUCUUGUUACCUUAAAGCCAUGAAUUAUAAGGUAAACAUAAAGAUGCUCAUAACCAUACUGAUUGACAAUCGAAUACUUGACGACCUGCAGUCGUUGGAAUGAAUGUCACAUUUGUCACCCCUUGGCUUGGUCGGACGGGACUGUAGCUAGCAGUCAGGGUGUGGGAGUGUCUGUCCCGUAUAGAUCUAUACACACAAUGCCCGCUCUCCCUCCAGGAGACUCUGGUUACCAACUUGACAAUGGGGAAAACCGUGUCCAGAGGAUGCAUCUCGUAAUUUCGAAUUCUAUUAUAAGUAUUGGAAUAAUGAUAUAGAUUCACAAAUGAACUGACUCCUUUGGAAUUCUCCGUACUGGAAAGAGUAAAUAGAAUCUCCUAACUAUUCCUAUAAUAUUUACUAAUACUUCAAGUAUAUGAUUGAUGAAUGGAAGGAUGCCCUUGCUACCCAAGGGAAAUGAACUGGUCGAUGGAAACCUUUAUGUCUAUACAUGUACACAUGAUAUAUAACUAAUAUUUAAACGACCUUCGGAUGGAUAACCGAUACCCACCAGACCACAUCUCAACAAGGAAAAGGAAAUAGGGCGAACUAGCCAUUCUAAGUCCUUUAAACAUUAUUUAUAUAACUAUACAAAUAUAGGCAUGCAUUUAACGACAUAAAAGCAUAGAAGAAAACUUUGGUAAAAUCUUUGGAAAAUCUUUUCAAAUAAGAAUUUAUGACUUGAUGUCAUUCUAUAAACAAGCUUUGAAAACCUUUGAAAAACUUUUGGAAAACCUUUCGAAUACUUUUGAUAAUCUAAACAAGAAAUUCAUACUUUAACAAGAUUUGAAAACGAGAUUGGAAGACCUUUUGUUGGAUGAAGCAGUUUAAAAUGUAAAAAUCCAUUUACUAUAUAGUUAUUAACUACAUGUGAUUUAUCUGAUAACUGUAUAGUUCAACUUGUAUUCCCCCCCCCCCAUAAAACAGUUAAAAUCAUUUAAAAGGUUUAUUUAGGGGUAUUAACUCACCUGACGUGGGCGAUUCGGAUGAACGGACGGUGUAAGAUGCUAAGCGUCAAGUGAAGACUUGAUCAUACAUGCGAAUCCUAUUUAACAAGUAAUGAUACCUUUAAGUAUCCAAUUAGUCAUUUAAUAACUAAUUAAGCAAGUAAGGAUGUCUUACUACAUGAAAACACUUUGCUAUAGGUGCUAGGAGUACCAAGGGUUGCAUAUAAGGAGAGUAUAGUCCCACUUUGGAGUUUACUCCUCCUAUGGUAAUACCUAGGGGUGUUUACGGUUUUCAUACCACUUCCCCCAUGAGUUUACAUCCGUAGACUCAUGGAAGUGAUUUCAUUGGAUGUUCAAAGGUCUUAACUCACUCAUGGAAUUAUGCUAGACUCAAAUCAAGGGCUUAGGAAGUGAUUGGGGCUUGAAAUGGACACUCUUUAGAGUUUACGGUCCUUGGACCACUCCCUUGGGAGUUUACGGUCGUAAACACAUGAUUUUACGGUCGUAAACUCAUGUUAGCCCAUUUCUUUUGUGCUUUUGUGGUUAUAGGUCAUACAUGCAAGGUUCUAGUCACUUAUACGAGCAUUGGAAGGUGUUAAGGGCACUUAAACACCCUUAAGAGGUGUUUACGGUUUUGGGAGACCUUCCUAAACCAUAAACUCAUGUUUGUCCCUUCAAUUCAUGUUCUUGGGGUCCCUAAUUCAUGCAAGUAAGGUUCUACUCCAUCACACAACCAUUAGAAGGCAUUAGGGGCAUCUAAACACCUCUAGGAGGUGUUUACGGUUUUUCGGAUGAUCUCCCCAAACCGUAAAUCCAUAAGAUCAUGGGGAAAUGAAAAUUUUCGAAUGCUAAACUCAUCUAGGAAGGGAUCUAUGCUAGUUUUCAAGGCUUAGAAUGAACCAAGGCACACUUUGGCACCCAAUUUGGAGUUUACGGUCCAAGAACACCUUGGACCGUAAACACCUUGUUCUUGGUGUUCUUCAAGGUUUUCACAUGUAUUCAAAUCAAACAACUAGCUAGGAGAAGUAUACUUACGUAUAGGAAGCUUAAAUGAUCGAUUUUGGCGGAUAUGACGGGAUGAAUUUAUGAUAGUUGGGAGAGAAUCCUUGGGUGUUCGUGAGGUGGAAGUUGGAAAAAUGAGAGAAAAUGACUAAGUGUCAUAUUUAUACUCUCGGGGGCUCGCGGUCAAAAACUCCGAGUUUUCGUCCGUAAAUUCCAAAUUUUUGAGUUCCGCGACUUACGCUAAACAUGGCAACUCUAAAUUUUACUUCUUUAUUUUUGGUUCGCUUGACGAAUAUUAUUUAAAAUAUUCCAACGGGCUUAAAUCCGGCAAAAAAUAUUUUGGGAUAAAUUUGGCUAAUUUUUGAUGUGCUUAAUUACGGUGUUAAAAUAAACGGAAAUUUCGGGUUGUCACAUCAUCCCCCCGUUAGAGGGAAUUUCGUCCCGAAAUUAGAGUUUAGGCAAGGAAGUAGGCAUGAACAAUCGAGCGAAGAGAUGAGGGUACUUCCUAUUCGGCUGAUCCUCGCGCUCCCAAGUGGACUCCGGCCUUCGCUUGGCGUUCCAGUGAACCUUCACUAACGGGAAUGCGGAUUCGGUUAGUUCGCGAUUCCUACAGGUUCCUCUACGAAGUUAGGGUUCCCAAUGAUUUUUAUCAAGAAAAGUGCAAUUUAGAGAGUUACGUCGGGCAAGCACUAUUUCAAGUAUAAGAUGUGGAUCGAUUUGGGGUGAAAAUUAUGGAAUUCCAAAAGUAGUCGUGGUUUGACAGGGGUUGGACCAAUUCUUAUAAAGAAUCUCGGAUGGCCCUAAGCUCUAGGAAAGAUAGAGCUUUUCAGUACUUAGAACAUAAUGUACUUCUACGGUGAUAUCAUCACUGACGUCAUCGCCAUUUUGAAGUUCCAAAUGUUCUCUCAUACUAGGGGUGUAGUUCUUCGAUGUGACAACCCGAUAUUUCAACUCUUUGUAAUGACCAAAAUGGGUCAAGUAUUGUAACCACUUUUGAGUAAUAAAAUUUACUUUCAUAAUAAAAUGUACAAAUAGUUCUAUUUAAUUUCCUUCUAUGUUUAAAUGUCUUUGAACCAUGAUCGUACGUGAAAAGAACGCCCAAAUCCGACUUCAUAUAGCGAAGUUAUGAUUUUUCCAAGUUCGACUUAGCAACAGACAGCUAAAAACUCGAAUCGGAGAUCGAGCGACUUUUGGCUGGAAUAACCUAAACGAGAAUCGAAGGUCUCGACAAUGGUAUUCCAGCGGUAAAAAGUCUGGCAAAAACCGACAUCAGAUAAAGAAGUUAUGAAUUUUCAAAGAAAUUCCUUAAACACGAUGAAUUUAUAAUAAGUAAUAAAAAAAUAAUUUCGGAAUUUGCCGACGGAGUCUAAACGAAAGUUGUAAAGCGUAGUCUCACCUACGCGUGGAUAUAAAGACCAUCGAAAACGGAGUUCGUAUGAAGAAGAUAUGAAUUUUUGAAGUUUAUUAAAUAAAUUAAUUAUUUAUUUAAAUCAAAAUUCGGAUAUUAUCCGAAGGGGAGUCAGCGUCCUCAUCCGAGGUACGCGCUGCGUACCCCUGUACGCCCAGCGUAACCGAGAGGAUUGGCCUCUGAUCGUCCACGUCGCGCUAUCCGAAGGAAACGACCCGUCCGACCCGUCCGAAGCCCCGACCCGUCCGACCCGACGUCCCAUCCGACCCGCGUACCCAGCAACCCGUCCCAUCCGAACCGAGGCAGUCGAGGCUUCGGUCAUGCAUGACGUACGCGUACGCGCUGCGUACGAGCGUACGCCCCGCGUACCGAGGCAGACCAGCCUUACUAUAAAUAGGAUGCGAGGGUUUCCAAAGAAAGGGUUCAUUUCUCUUCUCUCUCUCUCAACUUUGCCUCGUUUUCCGUGUCCGUUCAAACCCGAAGCUCUGGUCUUUUUGGCUCAAGUCCCGAAGGUCGAUUUUACUCCCGAGAUUCCCGAGAAUCCCGAGGAAAAUCCGUUUCCCGAGACGAAACUCUGCCCGGUUUUCCAUCUCGCUAUCUUCAAACUUUCAAGUGAGUUUCAUACCCCUUAAUCAACCUUUUUAAUUAUUCUAAAUACUUUUAUAUGCUUUCAAGGGGGGAUUACAAGUAAAACACACGAGUAUUAUCGUGUGUUACAUAAAGAAACUCUUUUAUAUACUGUUAUAUAUUCAAAUCACAUGCGAUUUAUAAACCUUUAAAGGAACUUUUAUAUAUAUAUAACAUAUGUCACAAUAGCAUUUUACCUUUUAAAAUAUAAUGUUGUUGUAAUGCAUGUAUAAACUAAACUGUUCUUAGAUUUUUCUUGUCUAUCCUAGACUCUACACCAAAAAUCUAUACUUUCAUAAACAAGUGAUUCCUUUUCUCAAUAUUUCUAAACAAACAAGACACGCUUUUUGGAAACUAUAAUAGGUAUAGUUUUACGAACAGAUUUCUAACUCUUAUGUACUAGAAACACAUAUUUCAAGAAGUUUACUUUCGUAUACAAGAACAAACGUAACAUUUUAACAAGUAGAUCUGUUUUUAUACCACGGAUUUGUGAGACACUAACUUCAUGUACGUUCGAGUACACAUUUCAAGUCCUGUAUUAUAUACCAGAAUCCCUUGGAGGGGGAGCAUGGUGUUUGUGUAUAGAUCUAUACGGGCUUGACAACCCGCGCCCUGACUGUUAGCUGCAGUCCACCGUUUGGGGUGACAAACGUCAUAACAUUCCAACGCCUGAAGAACGUUGUGUAUAGGCAUUCAGAGUCAAUAGUAUGGUUAUAAAACUCACAAGGGGUAUUAAAAAUGCAUUGAUUUACAAGGUUUUCAAACUCAUUGGUUAUUUUACAUUUACAUACAUUUUGGAAACAAACAUUGGUCUUGAGUGAAGGCUACUUUUAUACUAGUAGAAAAUAUAGGAUUUUCUAAACACAAACAAACAAAGAUAAAACAUUUCAUUUCAUUCAAACAUUGUCACUUAAAUACUUAUGAAAUUCACCAGCUUAAAUGCUGAUCUACUCUUUCAAAAUUACUUGUAUGUCCCAGGAAAUCAGUAAUUUCAGGUAUUCAUUUCGCUUUUGAUGAAGGGAUGCUGCGGCGCCAGUUUAAUCUCGUAUUUUGACAUCAUAUUGUAAUUGAGUUUUGAACAUGUAACUUUUGACAAAUGUAAACUUUCAAUUAUAUAUAUGAUGGUUGUAUUGCUUUCUUUACUAUGUAUUCAUUUGUUACGUUACCACAUGAAGUCAUCCGCCCCCGAACGUUUCCGCCGUUCAGGUUUGGGGGUGUGACAGAUUGGUAUCAGAGCAAUGUUUAUAGUGAACUAAGUAUAUCGAACCACAUAAGAUAUACAAACUAUAAAUGCUUAAGGGACUAAUACUCUCUGACAAAACAAAUUUUCUUUUUACACUUAAGCAGCAUUUCGUUCAACUUAAAUUGAUAGUUCAUUUAAGUACAAUUACAUGCAUACCACAAACUAUUUUCAUGUUAUACAACUAUACAAGUAUUUAGACAAGUUGACACUACGAUUGAGACUCGAUAUAUGUAAUCAGAUUUUGGACAAAUAUAGCGUGAUCAACUAUAUUUGCCCAAGAUUGGACCAACGUAUAUCGAGGAAUGAUCGUAGUAAGCAACAAGUCAAAACUUACCAAACCAUUACAAGAAUCAAACACAAGAAUUUAAAUACUAUAGGAGUAUUUGCUAUCUAAACUAGUUUAACUUACAUGUUUUACAUGUUCCGACUUUAUUCAAUUCUUAUAACCCUAUUUCUCGUACAGUCAAAUGGCUGGAUUUCACCACCCUGGCGACCCCUACUUUCCCAACCAAGGCAACGGAGGAUGGAUCGAAGAUGAUCCCGAAGAGGACGAGGAACCCAUAGAAGUGGGUGAUGACUCCGGUACCGACUCAGAGCCGGAAGUUAUCGAUCCACCACCCAUUCAACCUCCCGUCUUCGUAAGGAACUUUCAAGGACCGACUCCCGUCUGGGGAAGUCACCUCCACCAUUGGAGCCAACAGCAAAACCUACGCCCUCCCUACGGCAUGUGCCGGGACUUCUAUGAUGUCCGCGGCGGAGGUUCGGCUGAUCGAGCACUCCCGGUAAUGGUGGGUAAGUUAGCCAAUCAGUCCUAUCAGUCUGGAGUACAAGCUAGUCGACUCCGGGAUAUCAACGUGGAAGUGCAGGUUCACACUUCUGACAUCCGUAGGCUGGACAAGAUGCAAGACAACGCUCAAUUCCAAACCGAAGCGUUUCAAGCGCAAAUGAUUGCAGCCCUCGCCGAACUAAGGGAACAACAAGCCGCUUUCGAUAGGCGUCUAAUGGAGUCAAAGCAAUCAGAUACGGAGUCAAGCUCCAAGCGCAACCUUCGACGCAAGUAGUGCUUGUCAAGGACUCAAAUUUUGUUAUAGCUUAGGACCUCGGCUAAAAGUCUUUAAAUUUCUCGAACUUUGUAAUCGGAGACCCUUAUAGGGGUCAAAUUUUCAUGAUCGUUGUAACAACUUUUAUAUUAAUAUAAGUGGCACUAUUACUACUAUGUUGAGUAUUUCGUUCGAACCUUGAAUGGUCUUUGUGAACCCAAAUACUUGUUUCAUACCUUCAGUCUUACAAAUAACUUUCAUUCUUCUAUUUUAAGACUCAUACUAUCAUCUGUUGUUGAACUAUAGCGAUUUAGUUCAUGAGACACAUACAUUUUCCAUUCUAUGAAAUUCUUAUCCUUGUCUUUUCAAUCUAUAGUUGAAGGAUGCCUCCGCGUAGGAAUCCAAGGCGAAACAACGGUGAGGAAGCACCUAUACCACCACCACCUCCACCACCCCAAUUUGAUGCUGUAAUGUUUCAAGCAGCAGUCACCGCAGCGGUGGCAGCUGCCAUGUCACAGAUCAAUAACUCGAGUACUAAUGGCUCGGGAUCUGGCACACACCUAUCCAACCAUGGCGAGAGUCAUGGACCACCUCGAGAAUGCACCUAUAAGGACUUCACUAAUGCCAAGCCCCGGAUGUUUUAUGGUACUGGUGGUGUGAUGGCCCUGAGGCAGUGGAUUGAAAGGACGGAGGCAGUCUUUGAAAUCUGCUCCUGCCCCGAGCACAGCAAGGUCAAAUUUGCAACUUUCACCCUUCUCGAUAAAGCUUUAACUUGGUGGAAUGGCCACGUUAAAGUACUUACCCUAAUCGUGGCAAACUCCAUAAGCUGGGAGAGCUUGAAGGCCAUGAUGAUGAGAGAAUACUGCCCACGGGGAGAAAUUCAAAAGCUUGAACACGAGCUAUGGACUCUCGGAAUGGUGGGUACCGACAUCGCUACUUAUACCAACAGAUUCUGCGAACUGGCAAUCCUUUGUCCAGAUAUGAUUGCUCCCGAGAGCAAGAAGAUAGAAAGGUACAUCUGGGGACUGACGCCCCAAAUGCGAUCAAGCGUGUUAGCUUCUAAACCUGACACCUUUGAAAGUGCUAAGGAACUGGCACAAUCUCUGAUCGACUACGGAGGUCAUCAGAACUCAACCACUUCUGCACCAGCACCACAGAAAGGAAACAACAACAACAACAACAACAACAACAACAACAACAAUGGCAGGAAGAGAGCGUGGAUUAAAGGGAAGGGUGGGUCUUCCCAAGAAUCCGCAAAGAAACAACUGGUGUCAGUAAAUGCUGCCAUUGUACCUGCUACAGCCCCUACAAAUACCUACCCAACAAAGCCUUAUAUAGGCAACCUCCCAAAAUGCACCAAAUGCAAUUACCACCACCAUGGACCUUGUCGAGAUAUGCAGUGCGCCAACUGCAGCAGGAAAGGACACACAGCCCGUUUCUGCAAGGAACCCGCAAAGCCGAUCACUCAAGUUCCCGGUGCGGGUGUAGGGCAGGCUUGCUACGGUUGUGGCGAGGUGGGCCACUACAAGAGAAACUGUCCUAAGGCAGCAGGCACCGGAGGUGUGGGACGAGUUUUGGCAAUAGGCCACGACGAAGCUGUAGCUGACCCAACUAUAGUUGCUGGUACGUUCCUUCUCGAUAAUUCAUACGCAUGCAUAUUAUUCGAUAGUGGAGCGGAGAGAAGCUUCGUGAGUCAAAACUUUAUUCAUUUACUUAAACCUAAACCUAGCAAGUUAGAAAAAUCAUUCACUGUAGAGAUGGCCAAUGGAAAAACCGAAAACACAAAUUGCAUAUACAUGGGCUGUACGUUAACAUUAGACGGCCAUUCUUUCCCAAUCAAUCUCAUGCCGGUUCAAAUUAAAAGUUUCGACGUCAUAGUCGGCAUGGAUUGGUUGAGUCUUCUUCGCGCCGACAUCAUGUGCUUUGAGAAAGCAGUCCGUCUUAACCUCCCUAACAACGAAACAUUAGUUAUCUACGGCGACAAAUCUAGUGCAAACCUUCGCAUCAUUUCGUGCAUCCAAGCUCGAAAGUGCUUGCGGAAGGAUUGUCGAGCAUUCCUAGCGCACAUCGUCGAUACAAGUCAAGAACUGAAGGACAUCAAGAGCAUCUCGGUAGUACGCGACUUUCCCGAUAUCUUUCCAGAAGAACUACCAGGAUUACCACCGCAACGCCAAGUCGAGUUCAGAAUCGACUUAAUUCCAGGAGCUACCCCAGUAGCGAAGUCGCCUUAUCGUCUUGCACCAGCAGAGAUGCAGGAACUUUCCAGUCAACUUAAUGAACUCCUUCACAAAGGAUUCAUAAGACCAAGUUUCUCACCUUGGGGAGCACCGGUCUUGUUUGUAAAGAAGAAAGACGGAUCGUUCCGUAUGUGCAUCGACUACAGAGAGCUGAACAAACUUACUGUCAAGAACCGCUAUCCUCUACCCCGUAUCGACGACCUAUUCGAUCAACUUCAAGGGGCGAACUACUUCUCCAAAAUAGACCUGCGAUCCGGAUAUCACCAAUUACGAGUUCUAGAGGGGGACAUUCCAAAGACAGCCUUCCGAACUCGUUAUGGACACUACGAAUUCGUGGUGAUGCCGUUCGGAUUAACCAAUGCACCAGCAGUAUUUAUGGACCUAAUGAAUAGGGUAUGCCGCCCUUACUUGGAUCAGUUCGUCAUCGUCUUUAUCGAUGAUAUACUUAUCUACUCUCGAAGUGAGGAAGAGCAUAGUCAACACCUACGAAAAGUCCUAGAAACACUGCGAACGGAGAAACUCUAUGCGAAGUUCUCUAAAUGCGAAUUUUGGAUUCGAAGAGUCGAAUUUUUAGGUCACGUUGUUAGCGAGAAAGGUAUACACGUGGACCCCUCCAAAAUUAAGGCUAUUGAGAACUGGUCGGCACCAAAGACACCUACAGAAAUUCGUCAAUUUCUAGGUCUAGCUGGCUACUAUCGCAGAUUCAUAAAGAACUUUUCGAGCAUUGCGAAACCUCUUACUUCAUUAACCCAGAAAGGUGUGGCCUUUGACUGGGAAGCGAAACAAGAGAAGGCAUUCCAGACACUAAAGCAGGCCUUGUGCACCGCACCGAUACUAUCCCUCCCCGAAGGGAUAGAAGACUUCGUAGUGUAUUGCGAUGCUUCAAAUCAAGGACUUGGUUGUGUUCUUAUGCAGAGAGGGAAGGUUAUCGCUUAUGCCUCCCGACAGCUUAAGACACACGAAGUGAACUAUACGACACACGACCUCGAGUUAGGAGCAGUGGUAUUUGCUCUGAAGAUCUGGAGGCACUACUUAUACGGAACAAAGAGUACUAUAUUCACCGAUCACAAGAGCCUUCAACACAUUUUCGAUCAGAAGGAACUCAACAUGCGACAACGACGAUGGGUUGAGUUACUGAAUGACUACGAAUGCGAAAUUCGUUAUCAUCCUGGCAAGGCCAACGUAGUAGCCGACGCCCUCAGUCGAAAGGAAUACACUGGUCGGAGGGUCAAAUCUCUGACCAUGACUAUCCAUUCCCACUUAUCCACACAAAUUAAGGAAGCACAAAUGGAAGCUUUGCAACCUGAAAAUGUGGCGGGUGAAUCCCUGCGAGGAAUGGAGAAGAAUUUAGAAGUCAAGGGUGGCGGAGCCUACUAUCUCAUGGACCGAAUCUGGACCCCAAAUCAUGGUGGUUUCAGAAACGUAGUCAUGACCGAGGCUCACAACUCAAGAUAUUCCGUUCACCCGGGUUCAGAUAAAAUGUAUCUGGAUCUUAAGAAACUGUACUGGUGGCCUAACAUGAAAGCAGAAAUUGCUACCUUCGUGAGUAAAUGUCUUACUUGCGCUAAGGUUAAGGUCGAGUAUCAGAAACCGUCAGGACUACUACAACAACCAGAGAUACCGGAAUGGAAAUGGGAGCGGAUUACUAUGGACUUCAUAACCAAGUUACCCAAGACGACAAGUGGACUCGAUACCAUAUGGGUCAUUGUCGACAGAUUGACCAAAUCCGCACAUUUCCUACCCAUCAAGGAGACUGACAAAAUGGAGAAGCUUACAAGAACUUACUUAAGGGAAGUAGUGCGACUGCAUGGUGUUCCGAUAUCCAUUAUCUCCGAUCGAGAUAGUAGAUUCACUUCAAGAUUCUGGCAGUCACUACAAAGUUCCCUGGGAACUAGGCUAGACAUGAGUACAGCCUACCACCCACAGACAGACGGACAAAGUGAGAGAACAAUACAAACUUUAGAAGACAUGCUGAGAGCCUGCGUGAUUGACUUUGGAAAGGCAUGGGAUAUUCAUUUACCCCUUGUCGAAUUUUCAUACAACAAUAGUUAUCAUACAAGCAUAAAGGCUGCUCCGUUUGAAGCCCUCUAUGGUCGAAAGUGCAGAUCCCCUCUGUGCUGGACUGAAGUUGGCGAUACCCAGUUAGCUAGAGGAAGAGUUCCUGAAAGCACUCUCACCGGUCCGGAAAUCAUACGAGAAACGACAGAGAAGAUCGUUCAGAUUCGUGAACGAUUGAAAGCCUCAAGAGACCGACAGAAAAGCUACGCUGACCAAAGGAGGAAACCUUUGGAAUUCCAGGUAGGAGACCACGUCUUAUUAAAGGUCUCACCGUGGAAGGGUUUAAUACGAUUUGGAAAGCGUGGGAAACUAAAUCCAAGAUACAUAGGGCCUUUCGAGAUUCUUGCCAGAAUCGGCCCUGUGGCUUACAAGCUUAACCUACCGCGCGAACUUAGUAACAUCCAUCCAACCUUCCACGUCUCAAACUUGAAAAAGUGUCUGUCCGACGAGACUCUUGUUAUUCCACUCGACGAGAUCGAGAUCAACGAGAGCCUCAACUUUGUGGAAGAACCAGUAGAAAUCAUGGACCGAGAGGUCAAACAAACAAAACAAAGUCGCAUACCCAUCGUGAAGGUUCGCUGGAACGCCAAGCGGGGACCUGAAUUCACAUGGGAACGCGAAGAUCAG
rnacentral:lncRNA from 1 species